rnacentral:rRNA from 1 species
UCAAGCGACUAAGUGUAUGUGGUGGAUGCCUUGGCGAUUACAGGCGAUGAAGGACGUCGCAGCCUGCGAAAAGCCGUGGGGAGCUGGCAAGCGAGCACUGAUCCACGGAUGUCCGAAUGAGGGAACUCACCCGCAAGGGUAUCUUGAAGUGAAUACAUAGCUUCAAGAGGCGAACGCAGCGAACUGAAACAUCUAAGUAGCUGCAGGAAAAGAAAUCAACCGAGAUUCUGAAAGUAGCGGCGAGCGAAAUUGGAAGAGCCUGCAAGUGAUAUUGAAUUCGAUACUGGAACGGUCUGGAAAGUCCGGCUACAGAGGGUGACAGCCCCGUACGGGAAAUUGGGUUCAAGGUACUGAGCUUGCGAGAAGUAGAGCGGGACACGUGAAAUCCUGCUCGAAGAUGGGGGGACCAUCCUCCAAGGCUAAAUACUCGUAAUCGACCGAUAGCGAACCAGUACUGUGAAGGAAAGGUGAAAAGAACCCCGGGAGGGGAGUGAAAUAGAUCCUGAAACCGCAUACAUACAAACAGUAGGAGCCCGCAAGGGUGACUGCGUACCUUUUGCAUAAUGGGUCAGCGACUUACGUUCAAUGGCAAGCUUAACCGAGUAGGGGAGGCGCAGCGAAAGCGAGUCCGAACAGGGCGACAUGAGUCGUUGGGCGUAGACCCGAAACCAGAUGAUCUAUCCAUGGCCAGGCUGAAGGUGUGGUAACACACACUGGAGGGCCGAACCGACUAGUGUUGCAAAAUUAGCGGAUGAGCUGUGGAUAGGGGUGAAAGGCUAAACAAAUCUGGAGAUAGCUGGUUCUCCCCGAAAACUAUUGAGGUAGUGCCUCGUGUAUGGCUCCAGGGGGUAGAGCACUGUUAUGGCUAGGGGGACAUGGCGUCUUACCAAACCAUGGCAAACUCCGAAUACUUGGAAGUCUGAGCACGGGAGACAGAGCACCGGGUGCUAACGUCCGGACUCAAAAGGGAAACAACCCAGACCGCCGGCUAAGGUCCCUAAUAUUGACUAAGUGGAAAACGAAGUGGGAAGGCUAAGACAGUCAGGAAGUUGGCUUAGAAGCAGCCAUCCUUCAAAGAAAGCGUAAUAGCUCACUGAUCGAGUCUUCCUGCGCGGAAGAUGUAACGGGGCUAAGUCAAUAACCGAAGCCGCGGAUUCGCAGCAAUGCGAGUGGUAGGGGAGCGUUCUGUAAGCCUGCGAAGGCGGAUCUGUGAGGACCGCUGGAGGUAUCAGAAGUGCGAAUGCUGACAUGAGUAACGUUAAAGCGGGUGAAAAGCCCGCUCGCCGCAAGCCCAAGGUUUCCUGCUCUACGUUCAUCGGAGCAGGGUGAGUCGGCCCCUAAGGUCAGGCUGAGAAGCGUAGCUGAUGGGAAGCUGGUUAAUAUUCCAGCACCGAUUUCAAGUGCGAAGGGGGGACGGAGUCCUGAAGGUCAUCCGGGUGUUGGAUAUCCCGGUUUACGAGCGUAGGAGGUUGACAGGCAAAUCCGUCAACGGAUCUCCAAGGCGAAGGAUCGAGGUUGAGAGAUCAACUGAAGUGACUGAAUGGGCUUCCAGGAAAAGCCUCUAAGCAUCAGCUUGGAAUUGACCGUACCGCAAACCGACACUGGUGGGCGAGCUGAAUAUGCUCAGGCGCUUGAGAGAACUCAGGAGAAGGAACUCGGCAAAUUGACACCGUAACUUCGGGAUAAGGUGUGCCUUUGUAGUGUGAAGGGAGAAACACCCCGAGCAUGAAGAGGCCUCAGAGAAUCGGUGGCUGCAACUGUUUACUAAAAACACAGCACUCUGCAAAGAUGAAAGUCGACGUAUAGGGUGUGAUGCCUGCCCGGUGCUGGAAGAUUAAUUGAUGGGGUGCAAGCUCCUGAUCGAAGUCCCAGUAAACGGCGGCCGUAACUAUAACGGUCCUAAGGUAGCGAAAUUCCUUGUCGGGUAAGUUCCGACC